rnacentral:lncRNA from 1 species
AGGGAACAAUAAUGGGGCCAGGAAUUAGGGUCUGCCUUCCUGUGAGAAAGGGACCAAGGAGCAAACAGUAACCCACAAGCGGAGCCCCAGUCUGGAGCAACGCUGCUCCAGCCCGAGCAGUCUCGAGAAUCUAAGACGACGACGACUAUGUUCUGAUGAUGAAGGCAAUGGAAAACAAGAAACAAGAAUGGAUGCGGAAGAGGUUGCUCCACCUGUCUGGGUCUCUCCCUCUCAUCCAGCUAUUUGGGAACCCUGGAACCCGGCCACCAAGUGCUGCUGGAAGCGGAUUAGCAAAGCCAGCCUAGAGACCUGAAGUUCUCUGUGCAGUAGGACUCUGCUCAUCCCUGCCAACUUCCCUGUCAGUUUUUCACUGUACUCACUGGGUGGUGGGUAUGUGUGUGUGUGUGUGUGUGUGUGUGUGUGUGUGUGUGUGUGUGUGUGACUUCUGGGUCACCUUCUGCUGGCUCUCUGCCCGAUGGUCCUCAGGAAAGCCAGGCUGGGAGAGAAAGAGCAGCCCCUAGGCUUUCUAGGUACCUUUGAUGAUUGAACUCAGCAUGUCUGACUCCCUAAACAGGUCUCCAUAUACACACAGGAGGCUGUGUGGAGGCUGCAUGGACCAGGAGCCUCCAUUUACUCAUCAACUAACGGCUGAGACCACGUAUCCCAAACAGGCAAAGUCUAGGCUCAGCUGUGCUCUGACCAACUGAGUCAUGGGGGGGGGUGGGGGAUACCACCUAAAUGGCCUUUCCAAAUUUCCCAUGUCCCCCAACUUGGACUUGUACCUCAUGUUAGUCUACUUUCACAAUGACCCUGUGAGGUAGGAACUAGCUGCCCUACUUUUAAAGGUGAAACGGAGGCCUGUUAGUAACGAAGAAACCUCUUCUAUUGAGGGAAGGGAAGGGCCAGCUUUUACCAUAGUAGUUGGCACAAAGCAAUUAACGGAACAUGGAUGGAACAAACAGGUCUAACUCCCACCCCAGGGGAGUUGAGUGUACUGCUCUUCUCUCUUCUGCCAACUCUCCUAUCCUUGUGCGUCUGUUUGCCUCCUGGUGACACCUUCUUUUAGGCUUUCAGCGUUUACAGUCCUACACAAAAGCAUGUUUUGAGACAUGGGACCAUUAGUAGUUUGCACGGGGCGCUCAAAGGCAUUUCUGACUUCUGCUUCUCUCACCCUUUCCCAGGGUUCCCAUCUGUGGCCCAAAAUUUGGUCAACCAGCUCAAUAUGUUCAUGAGAGGGUGGGACAAGUCUGUCAGACGAGCCGUCAGGCGAUGUGUGAGCUCGUCCUGAGAAGGGGUUUUUGAAGGUAGAGGGGUACUCAUCUUAGAAGCUCCCUGGGAAGGGUGCCGGUGAGGUGAGGUUGGGUGUAGAGGCAAGAGAGUUCUGGGUAGAAACAGAGGCUUGUUCAUUCUGCAAAAAUCCCACAUUGGUGCAGUUUACCCACAAGAAUGACAGACCUGCAGCUUAAACUAGAGAUUAACCUUCCAGGGCCCCCAUCUGCCUCAGGAAGAGUCCUAAGCAGUGCUCUUGCAAGGUCCUUUCUGAGAUGUUACAGGUACAUUUUUGACAAAGUUGUUUGUGGCUGACUGUCUCUUUCCGCUGUAAUGUUCCCCACCCACUCCCACCCCUCGGCCUCUUGUCCUGUGGCAGUGGGAGCAGGUAAAACUGAGCACUCAUUUUGUGUGGGCUCAGUGGGACAUCCGUGUACUUUGAGGUCACUUUCUUAUGACUCAGAAUCCCCCAGUCACACGAGGGAACUGGGGCUGUGGGCUGACGCUGAGGUGACAGGAUUGGAGGGGAUGCAGCGUGACAUCUAUAUGUACUUUGAAGUCAUUGUGUCAUCCUAGAUUAUUGGAGUUACCCACGUGCAUAAAUAAACUUUAGGGGACGUACCUACUGCAAAAGACUCUGCUCAGAGCCCUCACAGGCUCACGGCUCAGCCUCCAACUUUGAUGGUUCUGAGAGGGUUACCCGUAAUGCCACUUUCUAAGAUAGCAUCUGCAUUGUAUCGUCCAUGAAGCUCCCAGAUUCUAAUGAACCACAGUUGCCUGCUGUACUCCCUCUGCCCACCCCAAGUCACACAUGAGGAAACGGAGGCCCAUGCUGGCAUUGACAGGACUGAAGGUGAUGCGUAAGAUGACCUGCUUU